rnacentral:lncRNA from 1 species
AAAAUAUGAUAAGAUAGAGUUAAUAUGUUAAGAUAGGACUGUUUUCAAAUCCUCCUCCACAAUUAUUAAGUUUCCUUUGUAAUGACUUUUUUUAAAUCAUGAUCAAUGAUUUGCCCUUUUCUAAUAAAAAAAAAAGGACCGAGCAAACGUGAGUUUUAAGAUGAGGAUGGAACACGUCAAUAGCAAGCAUCACUAGUUGAUCCAACGUCAUGAGUUUCUGAUGCCCCGAGUCUCAAGGAGAUAUUUGGAUUGGCGCACAUAUUUUGGAUAGUCUUUUUUCUCAUAUCCCACUUGCUCCUCUUGCUUUUAAAACUUUUAUUCGGGCCCGAUAUUAUAAGAAGAGAUGGGUUGGGCUUGAUGAUUCUUUUCCUUGGUCUGUCGGGUUUAUUUCAACAUGCAUAGCAAGUGGAGUCGUUUUUAGGACCAUCCCCUUCAAUCUGGUUUGAUGUGUCAGAGCUAGAGUCAGGAGAUUGGUAGAGGUGAGCAUCUGAUUUUUUCGAAGGCAGGUCUGUAGCUUUGUCCAUUGUAUUUCUUGGUGUAAUCUCUAGACUCAAAGAUUCAUGGAGAUGGAAAGUAUAUAAAUCAGGUGGCUCAAAGGUCGUUGCUUUUCCUUGUAUGGUUUUGGGAUCGUCAAUGUUAUGCCUCUGGGUCUCAUCGGCGUCUUGAUCAUAGUUUUGGCCAGCGAUGUUUGUGUCUUCUUUAUCCAACAAAUGGUCUUUUGGUGGUGAAGAUUGCAAUGGAAAAGCCUUCAGCUAGAAACCGUACUUUGAUCUUCUGCCUUGUUACGCUGAUGAGGAUGAUUGAGUUUCCUGUAUCUUGCAAUCCCGAUUAAUUGACCUAUCCUGCCACAACCCACAAGAGAGAAAAAGUAUUAGGUAAACUUUCAUAUUUCAAAAUUACCCCUUGUAGUUCUCCAUUGGGUUUUUGAUCCUGGAAACUCGUUUUGAAAGGUUCAUUAAUUGGCAAAUUAACUAUGAUACGCAGCCAAAUCUAAAGUACCUUCGAGUGUUAGAUCCGUCUCUAAGAAUUGACCCAGCAUAUUGCCGAUAAUCUGAGCAUUCCUAGGAUUCAAUUGAUUUGGGGGAUGCCAUGAGCCUGCGACCAAAAAGGCAAGUGACUUGAGUGCAAUCUGUUAAAGGAUUGGAGGUGGACAACUAAGAAUUGGAGCUUUUUAGAUUCAGAGAAUAUAAUUUUCGAUACUUACUGGUCAAUCGUAAUCUUAACCCUUUCUUUUGCGCCUCUGACUGUGAGAAUGGGAUGGGAUGGGUGGGAGUUAUAUGUCCAAACUAGACAGUCAAGCAGGCGAUCUUCUGAGACCCUCUUUAUCUCCUUAUCACUACCAACGACAUUCCUUUUUUAUAUUUUUGAUAUUUCAAGGUAUUAGAAAUUUUUGCUCUUAUAACAAGAAAGAGCAUUAGGAUUUUUUUUUUUUUCUCACACAACCCAUCUAGCAUGCAAAAAUGAAUGCUGAAGCAGUCCCAGGUAAUCACUAUAACACGUCGGAUUUAAAAAUAUAAAACAAUGUUUACAUGAUAUUUAUAUUCUUGUGUUCAAUUUCCUUUCAGCAAAAGAAUUAAGCUUCCAAAUGGUCAAGAUUUGGAGGAACAAGGGAAUGCACAAGGG